rnacentral:rRNA from 1 species
AAUGAACGCUGGCGGCAGGCCUAACACAUGCAAGUCGAACGAGGGGCGGACGGGUGAGUAAUGUCGGGGAAACUGCCUGAAGGAGGGGGAUAAAUACUGGAAACGGUAGCUAAUACCGCAAACCCACGGAUGGGCCCAGAUGGGAUUAGCUAGUAGGUGGGGUAAAGGCUAACCUAGGCGACUAUCCCUAGCUGGUCUGAGAGGCUGACCAGCCACACUGGAACUGAGACACGCUCCAGACUCCUACGGGAGGCAGCAGUGGGGAAUAUUCCACAAUGGGCGCAAGCCUGAUGCAGCCAUGCCGCGUGUAUGAAGAAGGUCUUCGGGUUGUAAAGUACUUUCAGCGGGGAGGCGUUACCCGCACAAGAAGCACCGGCUAACUCCGUGCCAGCAGCCGCGGUAAUUC